rnacentral:rRNA from 1 species
AUUGAACGCUGGCGGCAGGCUUAACACAUGCAAGUCGAGCGAGCGGCGGACGGGUGAGUAAUGUCUGGGAAACUGCCUGAUGGAGGGGGAUAACUACUGGAAACGGUAGCUAAUACCGCAAACCAUCAUAUGGGCCCUGAGUGGAUUAGGUAGUGGGUGGGGUAAUGGCUCACCUAGGCGACGAUCCCUAGCUGGCCUGAGAGGAUGACCGGCCACACUGGAACUGAGACACGGUCCAGACUCCUACGGGAGGCAGCAGUGGGGAAUAUUGGACAAUGGGCGCAAGCCUGACGCAGCCAUGCCGCGUGUAUGAAGAAGGCUUUCGGGUUGUAAAGUACUUUCAGCGGGGAGGCGUUACCCGCAGAGGAAGCACCGGCUAACUCCGUGCCAGCAACCGCGGUAAUUC